rnacentral:rRNA from 1 species
ACGCUCGACACCUACGGAGGCAGCAGUGGGGAAUAUUGCACAAUGGGGGAAACCCUGAUGCAGCGACGCCGCGUGAGCGAAGAAGUAUCUCGGUAUGUAAAGCUCUAUCAGCAGGGAAGAAGAUGACGGUACCUGACUAAGAAGCACCGGCUAAAUACGUGCCAGUAGCCGCGGUAAUCUGAGCGGGCUGGCAAGGC